rnacentral:tRNA from 1 species
AAGAUGAUCAUUAAAGCUGCUAACUUUAAACUAGUUUACAACUAUCAUCUUA